CUUACAACGGCAAGCCAAUCCUAGGCCCCAUCGUCAUAGGGGUGGGGCAUUCACUUCCCCGCCCCUCCCCGCCCCUUGGUUCUCUUUGCGGCGGAAGCUGAGCUGCGACCUAGCUAGCAACCGUUCUUGCAGAUCUUACCGCCAGUGACUUGGCUGCGACCCGCCCUUCUUGCCUCAGCCCUUCGGAAAGCGAAGAGUCUCCAUCUGUUGCUCAGGCUGGAGUGCAGUGGCACCAUCUCAGCUCACUGCAACCUCUGCCUCCGGGCUUCAAGCGAUUCUCCUGCCUCAGCCUCCCCAGUAGCUGGGAUUACAGAUAGAGAUGGGUUCUUGCUCUGUUGGCCAAGCUGGUCUCGAACUCCUGGUCUUAAGUGAUCCUCCUGUCUUGGCCUCCCAAAGUACUGGAAUUACAGGCAUGAGCCACCUAAAUUUUAUAUCCACUGGAAGUUUUAUUUCUUUAGGGUUUUAUCCCAACCAGUCACUUAAAAACCAAGUAACAACAACAACAACAACAAACAAGUAACAAUUAACACAGACCUGAGGGGUGGGAGCUGGGGACUGCACUCCCUCCUACUCAUGGUAGACAGCAGUGGAGAAGAGGGAGGGGCAGAAGAGAUGGCUGACCACAGGCAGCAGCAGCAGUGAUGGGGCCAUGAUGUCACAGAGCCAGCUCUGUCCUCCCCCAGACACUGGGUGGAGCCCCUGUGGCUUGGGGUGGGGAGUGGGGAGAACCCAGCCCAGGCCCUCCCCCUCCCUUCCCCAGACAGCCUCUUUGCUGUCUCAACCCACGUCUUCCAGCAGGAACCUGAGGCCCACGGAGAGGAGGAAGUGGGAGAGGAGGAUGCGGGAGAGGCAAGCUCCCCAUGGUGACACUCACCUCAACAUGGCUACCUUCUGUGGAUAUAGGUAAGUAUUCUCAGGCCCCUUACUUGGGGAUACCAUGUCUGCCCAUAGCUUCUGACCAUCCCAUCUCUGAAGGCAAGAGAAGU